rnacentral:rRNA from 1 species
AUGGUCAAGCAGAAAGGGCACAGGGCGGAUGCCUUGGCACUAAGGGCCGAAGAAAGACGUGAUAAGCUGCGAUAAGCUUCGGGGAGGAGCAAAUAUCCAUUGAUCCGGAGAUCUCUGAAUGGGGAAACCCACAUGAGCAAACCUCAUGUAUCCAUACGCCAAUCCAUAACGUAUGGAGGGGAACCCGGGGAACUGAAACAUCUAAGUACCCGGAGGAAAAGAAAGAAAACUCGAUUCCGUAAGUAGCGGCGAGCGAACGCGGAAGAGCCUAAACCGGUGUGCGUGCACACCGGGGUUACGGACUGCAUUUAAGAUUCUGCAAUGUUAGUGGAACGGUUUUGGGAAAGCCGGCCGGAGAGGGUGAAAGCCCCGUAGACGAAAACAGAGCAGACUGAGCAGGAUCCAGAGUACCGCGGGACACGAGAAACCCUGCGGGAAGUGAGGGGGACCACCCCCUAAGGCUAAAUACCACUUAGUGACCGAUAGCGCAUAGUACUGUGAAGGAAAGGUGAAAAGGACCCCGGGAGGGGAGUGAAAGAGAACCUGAAACCCUGUGUCUACAAGCUGUGGGAGUGCUUUAUAUGCACGACCGCGUACUUUUUGUAGAACGGUCCGGCGAGUUGCGCUCACUGGCAAGGUUAAGCACCGAAGGUGCGGAGCCGUAGGGAAACCAAGUCUUAAGAGGGCCAGAGUCAGUGGGGGCAGACCCGAAACCGGGUGAUCUAUCCAUGUCCAGGUUGAAGCUGCCGUAAGAGGCAGUGGAGGACCGAACCCACAUCCGUUGAAAAGGGUGGGGAUGAGGUGUGGAUAGGGGAGAAAUUCCAAUCGAACCCGGAGAUAGCUGGUUCUCCUCGAAAUAGCUUUAGGGCUAGCCUUGGUAGAGAUUUGCGG